AAGUCCGCCAAACCCGAAGAAGAACUACUUCCGCUGUGUGUACAUAGUAAAUGGCGGUCGUGAACAGGGUGGACUGUAAACAUUUCCACGGUUGGUUCAUGCACCGUGCUGACAGGAAAUUUACUGCCAAAGAGGAGAAAACGAAAUAAACGUUGAACUAAUGGAGAACGAAGAUGAAGAAAAGGACGUGGAGUCUGAAGUGGCGGAGCUGCGUCUGAAAGUAGACUCGCUGAAGCAGGAGCUCAGAGAGUGCAGAGCCGAGCUGACGAAGCUGCAGAAGCAGCUGAAGCAGUCAGAAAGACUGCAGAGGAACACAGAGAGCUACAAUGAAGACCUGAGGAAACAGGUUGAUCAGCUGAGCGCAGAGAUUCAUGAGCGGAAGAAGAAAGAUAAGGACAGAGUCAACAGUGAAACUCAGACAGAAGAAUAUGUAUGGACAGAAACUGAUUAUUACAACUACUACUAUGGAGGCUACUAUCAGAACCCUGAGGCAGCAGACACUCAGGAAGGCCUGAACGCAGCAGCAGCAGAAGAAGUAGCAGCAGUAGUGGAUGGAGCUGAUGGCAGCGAGACAGCAGAGGUUUCAACACCAACUGCAGCAGUAGCAGCAGUAGUUGCUGAUGAGUCAGGUCAACCUGACAGCAGUGUUACAGCCACAACAGAGGGAGGUGAUGCAGGAUCCAUAGCUGAUAUGUUGAGGGCCACUGCCGAAGAGGCUAUGACACAGACUGGGUUUGUGUUUGAUGAGACCACAGGAAUGUACUAUGACCACAGCACAGGCUUCUACUACGACUCGGCCAGUCAGUUGUACUAUGAUGCCAACACAGGCAUUUACUACUACUACGACGCGGAGAGCGGACGAUACCAGUUUCAUUCCAGGAUUGAGGUGUCUGCUGCACAGACUGGUGCAGAGCCUUGCUCAGACAAGAACACUACUGAAAAGAAAGGCAAGAAGUUCAAGAAAGGGGUCAAGAAAAUGUCACACCAGGAUGAUAAGGAGCUCAUAUCUGAUGACAAUAAGUUGGAGGAGGACGAAACUGACUGGGUCGAACAUCAAACGACUAAGAGGACCACAGAAUCACGAAAACUCAAGAAGAGGUCUUGUGGAGGAGAGGAGGAGAGCGACAAAUCUUCGUCAAAGAGGAAGAAACAGAAAAAUGGUUCACGCCACGAUGAUAAGAGAAGAUCGAAGAAGAAAAGCAAGAAAUCAAAAUCAGCAAAGCGGAAGAAGAAAAAGAGCCCUGCUCGGAGCAAUGACUCAGAGGAGAACAGCGAACCAGAAGAGGGUGAGAUCACAGAGUCUGAGAGAGACGAGUGGGAAUCUACUCCUUCGUUCUCAUCGUCUUCUGGCUCCCCUUCCAGGGAAGACCCAGAAUUGGAAUCAGAGAUGGAGACUCAGAGUCAGGAAGUCAAAGACAUUUGGCCGCCCUGUGUACGGGUGACAGUGGUUAGGUCUCCAGUGCUACAGGUGGGCACUCUGUUCAUCAUCACAGCCGACUCUCCAGCCACCAUUGGCAGAGAGAAAGAUAUGGAUCAUGCAAUCAGAAUACCAGAGAUGGGAGUCAGCAAGUUCCAUGCAGAGGUGUACUUUGACCAGGAGCAGCAGAGCUACAUGCUGGUGGACCAGGGAAGCCAGAACGGGACAGUCAUCAAUGGCAACAGAAUCUUACAGCCAAAAGCCAAGUGUGAGCCACAUGCACUGAUGCACGGUGAUGAGGUGAAGAUGGGAGAGACGGUGCUCUCCUUCCAUAUCCACUCAGGCACCGAUACCUGCGAUGGAUGUGAGCCUGGUCAGGUGAUGGCUCACCUCAGCAAACACAGGAGAGAGGAGAACACUGGCCCUGCUCUCACCAAAGAGGAUAAAGAAGCACUAAGACAGAAGGAGUUGAAGCAGAUGAAGGCCAAGUACGGCCUGCAGAGCAGCGAGUAUGAGGAGACAAAAACCCUGAAGAACCCCAAAUACAAGGACCGAGCAGAGUCUCGACGACAGACGGUGGGCAGCGAGGGCGUUUUCCAACGAGAUGAUGCGCCUGCUUCUGUUCAUGAGGAGAUCAGUGAAGUCAAUAAAGGACGGAAGAUGUUGGAAAAGAUGGGCUGGAAGAAAGGAGAGGGACUGGGCAAAGAGGGAACUGGAAUGAAAGACCCGAUUGAGCUGAAAAUCAGAAAGUCCCAGUCAGGUUUGGGGGCCGGUGCCGCCAUGUCUCUAGACAGCAUCUCUCUGACCCGAUCAAAGUCACAGAAGAACUGGGAGAAAGCCAGGGAGAGAUUUGCUGAUUCGUGCCAGCCUGACAUGCUGGCACACAAAACAACACAGAACAAAUCACCCAAAGCCUGGGUCAGAGCAGAGGAGACUGAGACCGCAAACACACAAACAGACAGUCAACGUUAAGGAUAAGUACAGGUGUCACCACCUCGUCCAUGAUCGCCAAGACGUCAUUCCUUGAUCGCAGAGACAUGGUCCAUGAUCGGAGAGACAUUGUUGAGGACGAGGGAGACAUCGUCUAUGAUCAGAGACGUUGUCCACGAUCGCAGAGACCUUGUCAAAGAUGAGAGAGGCGUUGUCCUUAAUCAGAGACAUUGUCCCAUGCUUCGUAGAGACCUUGCGAUAGAAUCGGCGGAGACGGGGGUCACCGAUUUGACGGCAUUGCCCGCGAUCAUGGAGACAUUGUUGAUGAUCACAGAGACACCGUCUAUGAUCUCAGAGACAUCGUCCACGACCGUAAACACAUUGUCCAUGAUCACAGAGACUUUGUCCAUAAUCUCAGAGACAUUGUCCACAAUCACAGAGACGUAGUCACAAUCACAAAGACGUCAUCCACGAUCACAGAGAGUCUUCGUACAAUGAAGAAGUUCUUUGAGACCACGACUGAGGCCUCCAGGUGUCACCACUUUGUCCACGACAUCGUCCACGAUCGCAGAGACUUCGUCGAUGAUCGGAGAGACAUUGUUGAGGAUGAGGGAGACAUCGUCCAUGAUCAGAGACAUCGCCCAUGAUCACAGAGACUUUGUCAAAGAUGAGAGAGACGUUGUCCAUGAUCAGAGACAUUGUCCCAUGCUUCGUAGAGACCUUGCGAUAGAAUCGGCGGAGACGGGGGUCACCGAUUUGACGGCAUUGCCCGCGAUCAGGGAAAUUGUUGAUGAUCACAGAGACAUCGUCUAGGAUCUCAGAGACAUCGUCCAUGAUCACAAAGACAUUGUCCAUGAUCACAGAGACUUUGUCCAUAAUCUCAGAGACAUUGUCCGCGAUCGCAGAGACGUAGUCCACAAUCACAGAGUGUCUUCGUACAAUGAAGAAGUUCUUUGAGACCAGGACAAAGGCCUCCAGGUGUCACCACUUCAUCCACCACGUAGUCCACUAUCGCAGACCGUCUUAAAGAAGUUCUUUGAGACCAAGACAAAAGUCUCCAGGAGGAGAAGAUGACAGCAGCCAAAGACCUGCAGUAGAUGAAAGAAAACAAAAGUUUUACAAAGCUGUUAAUUAGAUAAAAGACGUCCACCAUGUCACUACUGUAAAAGUGUUGGUUUUCUGUUGUACAAACGCUUUGUUUUGCUCUACCAUCUGUAAUGUAAUUAUGGGCAAACUUAUUAAACAUCUGUGGGAACAUUCAACUGUGAUAAAACUGUUUAAUAAUUGUAUCACAAGCAGUUACAUGAUCACAAAGAUGCUUAGUAGACAUGUUUAUCUUUGGAAAAUGUGCUCAUAACCACAUUAACCCUAACAAGUGUUGUGGUUUAAUGUUUGAAAUAAAAUCAGGAAACAUUUCUUUCUAAGCUUUUGAGUUACAUUUCUCUGUU